rnacentral:rRNA from 1 species
AACGAACGCUGGCGGCAUGCCUAACACAUGCAAGUCGAACGAGACCUUCGGGUCUAGUGGCGCACGGGUGCGUAACGCGUGGGAACCUGCCCUUAGGUUCGGAAUAACUCCCCGAAAGGGGUGCUAAUACCGGAUAAUGUCUUCGGACCAAAGAUUUAUCGCCUUUGGAUGGGCCCGCGUUGGAUUAGCUAGUUGGUAGGGUAAAAGCCUACCAAGGCGACGAUCCAUAGCUGGUCUGAGAGGAUGAUCAGCCACACUGGGACUGAGACACGGCCCAGACUCCUACGGGAGGCAGCAGUGGGGAAUAUUGGACAAGGGGCGAAAGCCUGAUCCAGCAAUGCCGCGUGAGUGAUGAAGGCCUUAGGGUUGUAAAGCUCUUUUACCCGGGAUGAUAAUGACAGUACCGGGAGAAUAAGCCCCGGCUAACUCCGU